GGUUUUGUAGUCGAGUGGUAAGGACACUUGCUUCUUGCCCUAGAUCCCCGGGUUCGAUCCCCUGUCGAGGAUCU